AAUCAUUAGAAGACAUACAAGAGUUUUAGUUUAAUUAAUGCUGAUUACUUAUUAAAUUGUAGGUUCCAAGAAGAUCUGACCAUAGAAGACAUAAAAAGGCCACAACUAAGAAGUUAUGUGCUGAAAAGGAGUUGCAAAGCUAACCAUCAUGUCAAUAGCAGCUACCCUGGGGAAUCAUACAGGUAUGUACCAUUGUUU
rnacentral:lncRNA from 1 species